UAACUGAAGAGUUUGAUCAUGGCUCAGAUUGAACGCUGGCGGCAGGCUUAACACAUGCAAGUCGAGCGGGGGAAGGUAGCUUGCUACUGGACCUAGCGGCGGACGGGUGAGUAAUGCUUAG
rnacentral:rRNA from 1 species